GUUCGAGAAAUGCGGAUUGUAAUUGAUGAAGGUGAAGCCGCGCGCUUGAUCGAUCGUGUGGAACAGCGGGUUCCAGUUGAACAGGAUCAGCAUCUUGUGCGGCAGAUUGUUCGCGAGAAACAUCUUUCCCGAGGCGAUCAUGUUGGCACGG
rfam:Thioclava sp. 25B10_4, complete genome.